CGUCGCGUCGCCGGCUCGUCCGUAAUUAUUAACAGUUUUUAGUAAGAAAUAAUUAGAACUUGAUUAUAAAUUUAUAUUCAAAGUGAAGGUAAUAAUUUUUUUGACAGUUUGAUGUAUAAAUUAUAGUGAGUCAUCGUAAAUUCUAUAGAAAAAAAUAAUAAAUAAAAUUUGUCUAUCUUUCGGAGGGAAUUUUUUCGCUUUAGUUCCAUUAAAUUCCGUCGCUCUUGUGCUCGCGCAUGAUCAGUGUUAGUCUUUUGUUCGAAGUUUUAAUUUCAAAUAGACGCUGCUCGUAGAAAGUGAAGCUCGGGAAACUGAACUCGGUAUUAAUUCUUUUGUUUAAAAAGUUAAUUAAAAAACCGGUUAAAAAAUAAAUUUAAAUUAUAAAAAUUAAUUAUUAGAAUAAAAUUAUUAAUAAAUUUAAAUGAAUCGUGUCGGAAAUUCAAGUUACGUUUAAAAUUAAAUAAAAUUUUUGCUGUCGCCAUUUAAAGUCGUCGCGAUCUAAAACCGGAAAAUUAGUUAUAUUUUAAAAAUGUGCGUGAAUUUUUUUUUAAGUGCAGUGAGUGAUAAGUGAUAGUGUUUGUUUGAAAAAGUUGUGAAAGUGUUCGGUUGUGAUUUUUUUAGCCGGCGUAUAUUUGGAGGGAAAUAAGUUUUUAGUUAGUGCGCAUGUCUAUGUCGGUGUUGUGAAGCCAUUCGUGUUCGAAAAGUUUUCGCGUCUUGUCGUUGAUACCGUUAAGCUCGUAAGCUCGCGUGUGUUUUGUGUGUGGUUUUUUAUAUUGUGAUUUAAUAAUAAAUAACUGUGGAAAUAGUCUUCUAUUAAUUAUUCAGAAUGAAGCUUUGAUUUUAAAAAAAAUGACUCGAGAUGAAAAUUCAAGGGCAAAAUUGACUGUUAAAGAAAGAUGGCGUCUAAAAAAUCAAAGCAAAACCACUCGAUUCAACAUCUACUGGAGUUACCGUCCAGCCGUAACGAGAGACUAUCUGAGAACAGUGAACAGCAAUCACCAAGAACAACCCCUCGACAAGUUCCCGUCACUGUGCUUCAUCCAACACCAAAAAAGUUGUACCUGAGUAAAAAUCGGCAGGCGACCCUGCCUCAUCACCAAUUCCAACAAGCG